UGAUUACAUGAGGUAUUCCAAAGGUCAUCUUCUCUGGCAUGCCUGUAUGUGUAUAAAGACGUUCCUAUACCAAAGAAUUUUUAUCAGACUUGAAAAUACGUAAGAAAAAUGAAUGAGAGAGAUUUGGGGAAGAUCAGAUGAAAUAGCUAAAAGUCUCAAACAGUGCAACUCUGCCUUACAUGUGAGAGGUACUGACUGGGAAUGGUGUUAGAUAUUAAUUUGGAUUGAUAUGUACAUCUGCCAUGGGCUAUAAUUAUUUCAAAUUCUAUAUGGUUCCCAA